GAAUUCCAAAACUAAAAUCAGUUAUUCUGUUGCCACUAAUGCAAGUUCAACUUAAGCCAAAAAGAAGAAGAAGAAGAAGACGACGACGAAGAUGAAGAAGAAGUUAAAUUAGUACAUAUCCUGAAAAGGACCAAAAGUAAAUUGAGCAGGAUGUGCCACCUGAAAUGUUACCUUCUGUGGUGGAAGAACUUCAAAGGAAGGUGCCAAUGGCAGAGGCAAUUCUCGGGGAAAAGGAAAAUGCUGCUCUAGGAUUGCAAAAAAGACAAUUUGAGGCACAAAGGUCUGAAUAUGAAGCUAAGACGAAAUCUCUGGAGGAAGUGUGGCAAAAGCAUAAAGCAACUUUGCAAGCUAGUUUAUUAUGCUCUUUUUCCGAAGCUUUUGAUAUUACUUGAAACCUUAGCCAACUAGAAUUUUCUGAUAACAAUUUUUUUACUUGAAAAAUAGUACUGAUCGCUUGAUUUUGGAACUUAUGUCAGGUGUUAAAAUUGUAUGUGGUAGGAUUGAUGACGACUCAUCAUAUUGCUGUUAAGAGAUCGAGGUUAUGUCCAUGUCAACUCAGUCUCCUGGUGGUAGCACCUAUCUCAAAUUUGCUUACAGUGUUAUGCAAUUUGAAGCAGGUCAGUUUACUAGUGGUGGUUUAGAUGCAAUCAGUUCCCUUGAGGAGGAGCUUGAGCAAGGGGGAAAAAAAUUGAUGACGAGGCUACAGAUCCUGAGAAGGAACUGCAGAGUCUGAAAUUCAUAUUUCAGUAAUGGAAAAAGGAUUACAGGGUUCUGUUAAGGGAGACAAAGGCUAAAGUACACAGGCUGCGCCAAGAUGAAGCCGAGAAAAAUAGACUAUGGUGGGGAAAAGAUGAGCAAACCGUUUUAGAUUGUUGAUCAUGUAGAAUACUUGUUUUGUGUGUGUGUAACGAUUUUGUCUUCAAAUUAGCCCAUUCAUAAGCUAAGGGAUUCUGUUGACCUACUGCCCAAGUUCGGCAUGAGAAUUAAAUGUAUAUAGUUUGUGUCAAUGAUGUAAUACAUAACUCAAUUGAAUAUCGUGGUUAGGGUGGAAAAAUAUAUAACAGAAAUGGUGAUGUCACUAUUUGUUGAAUUGAAAUAGUACAUCAGUUCUUUCUUCUCCGAUCAUUUGGGCAAACCAA